rnacentral:rRNA from 1 species
GAUGAACGCUGGCGGCGUGCCUAAUACAUGCAAGUCGAGCGAACAGACGAGGAGCUUGCUCCUCUGACGUUAGCGGCGGACGGGUGAGUAACACGUGGAUAACCUACCUAUAAGACUGGGAUAACUUCGGGAAACCGGAGCUAAUACCGGAUAAUAUAUUGAACCGCAUGGUUCAAUAGUGAAAGACGGUUUUGCUGUCACUUAUAGAUGGAUCCGCGCCGCAUUAGCUAGUUGGUAAGGUAACGGCUUACCAAGGCAACGAUGCGUAGCCGACCUGAGAGGGUGAUCGGCCACACUGGAACUGAGACACGGUCCAGACUCCGACGGGAGGCAGCAGUAGGGAAUCUUCCGCAAUGGGCGAAAGCCUGACGGAGCAACGCCGCGUGAGUGAUGAAGGUCUUCGGAUCGUAAAACUCUGUUAUUAGGGAAGAACAAAUGUGUAAGUAACUAUGCACGUCUUGACGGUACCUAAUCAGAAAGCCACGGCUAACUACG